rnacentral:piRNA from 1 species
UAGGAUUUUAUUUCGCGAUGAUAAUUUUCU